CAUAGAUGCUGCCUGACCUGCAGAGUUUUGUGUGAAGACAUCACAGACGUUCCCUUAUUAUCCCUAAUAUGAAUCACCUUCAGCAGAGAAAAUACUUUUUGGAGGUUAAUGAACAAGCUGCUGGAGGAACUCAGUGGGUCAAGCAUCCAUGGGUGGAAAGGAAAUGUUGAUGUUUCGGGUCGAAAUCCUGCAUCAGGUCUAUAUGGAGGUCCUCUUUUUUUCAUCCCUUAGGGCAAUCCACAGCCUUGUCCUUUCUGACAACUUGGAGAUCGGGAUUGUUUGCUCUUUUGCUGUAGGGUAAUCUUUUACCCUCUAGAAAGUGAAGUUGAUUGGUGACAGGUUGAGAAGAAUGCUCACAGGCAAGAUCCGUGUGAGAGCUCCCAGAGCGCGUGUGCUGAGUGUCAAUUACAAGUUACUAAGAGGAAGGCAUAAAAAUAGAGUUAUGCCCUUCAGCACAUCGUGUACGAUUAAGUAUAAUCGGUAAUCUUCCUUUUCAUCGCUUGGAAAGUACAAGAAGUUUCUAACUUUUAGGUACAUUUCAUGCAAUGUCUGCACAGGCUGUUGCCGGAUCACCUCCUCACUUUCUCUCUACCUUGAAGCCACAGAAAG